rnacentral:lncRNA from 10 species
GUGUCUCAAAGAAAAUGCAUGAGAGCAACGCAAUGGAAAGUGUCCAGUUGGGGAGGGGAGCUAUUUUCACUAGGAUGCCAACAAAGGCUUCCCUGAAGACUGGGCAUUUGAGCUGAGACCUAAAUGUGAAGAUGGCUGGGAGCUGGUGUAUGGAGCAUAGGGUUCGCUAGAGGAAAGGCAGCUGUAAAGACCCAAGUCAGGAAUCAGUGUCUUGUGUUGGAAAGCCAGGAGGAAGACCAGAGUGGCUGAAGCAUUAUUAGCUGUAGAGAGAGAGUAGAUUAUGAAGUCAGGAGAUUGGCAGACCUCAAGGCGUGCAGAGCAGGGCAGGGAGUGUGGAUGCCGUGGUGUUUUCAGUUCUUUCAAUCAAUAUUUUACUGCCUGCAGCCCAUUUUCUUUUACAGCCUGUCUUCUUUUCCUUCUGCUUUGACUCGAGUCUUACCUCAUAAUGGGCAUUUUAAUCCUCUCUGUGAUGCAAUCCAAUGCUUCUUGCUGGGCACCUUGCUUUAUUCCAGCUCAGGGCAGCAUUAAAAAAGAACAGAGGAAGUCUCCAGCCGAGAGGGGCUCAGGAAGGGGUGCAGGUUGCAAUCUAAGAGCU